AGGGCAGAAUAUUUCAUUUUGUUCUUUUGUUGCUGGGUUUGCCUUGGCUAACCUGAACAGCUACUAUGUAUUCUGGGCUAUUCAAAGUUACCUCUUGUUUUAGCCCUGCAAGUACUGGGAUUAAAGCCACCAUGCCACCCUCUGUCUGCAGCAGGCCCUCCUGUGGACACAGCAGGGCACAAGCAACAGUACCUUUCCAGACCUUCCUUUUCCUCCUCGUGCUCACACUUCUCAGUUCCAAAUUUGGCCUUCAGGGACCGGGCUCGGGCUAUUAUAGCUUCCACAGUAGUAAUCUGAAGGAUGAUUUCCUGGAGCAGAAAGGGAGACAGAGAUGAGGAGCCUUUUAGCCUUUUUAGAAGCCAAUGAGAUGGCUCAGCAGGGACAGGUCCUUGUCACCAAGUCUUACAUCCUGAGUCUGUCCUCUGACCUCUAAAUAUCCCAUGACAUGCAUGCAUACCAACAUCACUAUCCAAUAAAUGAGUGUAAAAAGAAAAUGUAAAAC
rnacentral:lncRNA from 1 species